rnacentral:rRNA from 1 species
UACACACGUGCUACAAUGGGCGGUACAAAGGGUUGCAAUCCCGCGAGGGGGAGCUAAUCUCAAAAAGCCGCUCUCAGUUCAGAUUGGAGUCUGCAACUCGACUCCAUGAAGGCGGAAUCGCUAGUAAUCGCGGAUCAGCAUGCCGCGGUGAAUACGUUCCCGGGCCUUGUACACACCGCCCGUCACACCAUGAGAGCUGACUGUACCAGAAGUCGCUCGGCUAACCCUAAGGUUCGCCUUAGGGAGGCAGGCGCCUAAGGUAUGGUUGGUGAUUGGGGUGAAGUCGUAACAAGGUAGCCGUAGGGGAACCUGCGGCUGGAUCACCUCCUUUCUAAGGAG